UGGGUAAUAAUAUGGUAGCUAGACCUUCAAAAUUUAUGUGUCUAAACUUUUGUUAGUGCUGUUUCUUUGCUAUUCUUUUACCUUUCUUGGUCAGAGCGAUGUAGUGGGAGCUGCAAGCUUCACGUGCUCAACUUUGGCAAAAGAACUUUGGCAAAGUUAUUUGUGGUACCCAUGAGCUAUUGUUGCGUGUGGGAAGUGGGUGAUUGAACAGUAAGAUUCAUGUGCUUUUUUACUUCACCAGAAGUCUUCGACAGAAUGCCCAUAAUUUCUGCAAAGCUGAGUGUGCGUGUGACAGGUGCUGACAAGGCUAGAAAAGUAGGUGCCUCUUCGAUUUCUGAGAUCGGCCCUCGUGGUCUCUGAGCAGCCCAGCUUUUGAGAAAGCGAGCGCCUCUUCGAUUGAUUCGGAGAACGAUGCCUCAUCGAUUUUUGAGAAAGCAAUCAUGCUGGGGGUCUGGCUCUCGAGAUUCGGGGAGCAGUGUCUCUUCGAUUUUUGAGAAAGUAAUCAUGUUGGGAGUCUGGCUCUCGAGAUUCGGAGGGCGGUGCCUCUUCGAUUUUGGAGCAAGCAAUCUUGUUGGGAGUGUUUUCUCGAAUGUGAGUAAAGGUUGGGCAUGUUUGCUAGUCUACCUUGCCACGAAGCACAGAGGUUGACACACAGGGACUUUCCAAUUAUCCAGCAAUGGUACUGUUCCUUUACCCUCUCUUCGAUUUUUAAGAAAGUAGUCAUGUUGGGAGUCUGGCUCUCGAGAUUCGGAGGACGGUGCCUCUUCGAUUUUGGAGCAAGCAAUCUUAUUGGGAGUGUUUUCUCGAAUGUGAGUAAAGGUUGGGCAUGUUUGCUAGUCUACCUUGCCACGAAGCACAGAGGUUGACACACAGGGACUUUCCAAUUAUCCAGCAGUGGUACUGUUCCUUUACCCUUGUGGGUAAUAAUAUGGUAGCUAGACCUUCAAAAUUUAUGGGUCUAAACUUUGUUAGUGCUGUUUCUUUUGCUAUUCUUUUACCCUUCUUGGUCAGAGCGAUGUAGUGGGAGCUGCAAGCUUCACGUGCUCAACUUUGGCAAAGUUAUUUGUGGUACCCAUGAGCUAUUGUUGCGUGUGGGAAGUGGGUGAUUGAACAGUAAGAUUCAUGUGUUUUCUACUUCCCCAAAAGUCUUUGACAGAAUGCCCAUAAUUUCCGCAAAACUGAGUGUGCGUGUGACAGGUGCUGACAAGGCUGGAAAAGGCUGGAAAAGUAGGUGCCUCUUCGAUUUCUGAGAUCGGCCCUCGUGGUCUCUGGAGGAGCCCAGCUUUUGAGAAAGCGAGCGCCUCUUCGAUUUUUGAGAUCGGCCUUCGUGGUCUUUGAGCAGCCCAACUUUUG
rnacentral:lncRNA from 1 species